ensembl:misc_RNA 7SK 7SK RNA
GGGUGUAAAGGUGAUCUGGCUGCAACAUUUGUCACCACAUUGAUAGUCAAGUUUGAUUUGGCUAAUCUGGCUGGCUAGGUGGGUGUUUCUUUCCUCACCACUCCACAAGCAUCCCUUGUGAAGCGAAGCUGUGCGCUUGGUUAAAGAGAAUGACCUUCCCCAAUAGAGGAGGACCGUCUUUCCAUCAAGGGUAUAGGAGUAGCUGCGCUCCCCUGCUAGAACCUCCAAACAAGCUCUCAAGGUCCACGUGUAGAACGUAGGGUAGUUAAGCUUCCAAGAUUCCAGACACAUCCACGUGAGGUGCUGCAUGUGGCAGUCUGCCUUUCUUU